rnacentral:lncRNA from 1 species
CGCACAUGAUUUGUCUAUGGCUGGCUAGUGAGCUGCUCGUGGUUGCACUUGGAGUGGGCUGCUAGUUAAACUUGAGAGGGACUAUGCUUAUGCUUCUCUUCGGCCCCUGUGUUGCAUACUCUGGUGCGUGUAGAAGGAUCUCCUUGAUUAAGAGAGUAUUAAUGAUAGGAUUUAGUUAUUAAUCCUAACUUUAAUGCCUUUGAAUUUUGUCCUUCCCAUGGGCAGGACAACUUAAUGAGGUUGUAGUCAACUGCUCAAAACUUCAGGGAUGUUGAACUGCGCGUGAAAAUCUUCAUGGGCUUUGUCAAAUUACUAAGGGCAUUCUUGUCUUCUUAGAGUAAAAGUCCACUUGUCCGCUCCAGGAAUUUUCAGAUUAUUUUUUGCUCCACAAAGAUUUUUGGUGGGGUCAUCUUUAUGCACCACCUCUUCCAACGCUUAUCGGCUUCCAUCUUUCUGGAUUUGGUAAGGUCAAAUACCAUCGUUGUAGAAUCUAGGCACAUCAUGUAUUUCUUCUUUUUACUCAUUCCCUUUGCUGUUGCUUUUUUUGUUGCCCUCGUUAGACGCACCUUUCUUUUGGUGCGCAAAUGGUCCCCCUAAGAAAUGAAUGCCAUUUCGUUAUCAUCAUCAUAUGAAGCAUCAACUUCUCCAUACCGCUCCAGUAGUGAUUUUCUUCUACAAGCUUUGCACAAAUAUUUUUUAGGAAUGUCCUAAUCAACAGUCUCUAGCACCAACUUCAAACCCUUUACUUUUUCUCCACUUCCAGAAUCACCAACUAAUUCCCUUCCCUUUAUCCUUACCAUCUUCCCCUUUCACUUUCUCACUUUCGUUCCCAUCAGUAUGUUUAGCCUCUCUUUUUUCUUUUUCUACAUCUGCCUCUUAUUCUUCCUCACUUUCUCCCUCGUUGAUUCCUUACUUGCAAUAUGACCCCUUUCUUCCUCACCUUCUUACUCACUUGCUUCCUAACUAGACUCCUCGACCGCUUUUGUCUUACCUUUCUUUCUUACUUCUUCCAUAACAGCGGAUAACUCCUCAAUCUUUCUCCACAACUCCUCGAUCCUUCUCAUGUGCCAUUCGCGCUAAAGAAAUCUUUAACUGCUUUAUCUUCAAUUUCAACUCACCAACAUCAUUCAUGUUGGGGGUUAGGUUGUCAUGUGUAAGAAUAUCCUUGUCAUCUCCCCACAUCCAGUAGCUUGCUUCUUCUCUACAUCAAUUGUAAAAAUGUGUAGAAUGCAUACAAGCUUUCAAUUAACAUAACAGUCAUCAAACUAUACUCAUAAUCAUACUUAAACAUUAACACACAGUAGUCCACAGUCAUAUAGACAUUCAUAGGCAGUCAUACAUAUUCAUAAACAUUCAUAUCAUUCAUAAAUAGUCAUAUACAGUCACAGACAGUCAUACUUGUCUACCCUCGGUAAUCUACAUCUUGAGUAGCUCAAAAGUGGGCUGCUUCUUGAUUGUUUUCCACCGAAAAAUUCGCGGGGUCGCUUUUGGAUAAGUCAUCUUACAAUAAUGUAAAGACUUAUCUAAUUGUGGAUUUUUUUCGUAUGCCCACACCUGCACAUAUACUAAAUAGGUACUCAACAACAAUAAUAAAUAACCAAUUAACUACUAACCCAACAAAUAUUACCUGAAAAGUAUACGUAAAUCCUUUGCAGCCCUAUCGGGAUCUUUGACCCCUCUAGGUCAGCACAAGUCAUUGAAAUCAUCUUGCCCCCCUUCUUUGAGGUCUUCUUCACUUUAGUAUUGCCCUUCUCGUUCUUACUGUUUUUGGUCUCUCCUUCAUACCAAACUUCUAAGGAAAAUACUUCUCCAGUAAACUAAUCUCAAAAGGGUCAACCUCUAUCUUGUAGGGUUCGUCGCACCCCAGCCUAUUGAUGAGGCAAAAGUCCUUCUUGGUGAACUGCGUAACUUCAUAGCCAAUUAAAUAGCUAAGUCCCUCCAAUUCUUUCACCCAUUGAUUUUUUACUCUGCGGAGUGACAAUUCAAGGAGCAACUUACCACUGUAAGGUAUUCUAUCAACCUUUUCAAACUACCUGUAGUAAGAAGCUCUAAAUGCAGCCUUCUGGGCAUCAUUUAAACUUUGCCGUAGAAGCCCUAAAACAUGAGAAGGUUAAAAAAGGUUGUUCACCCUUUCCCUAUACACAUAACUAUACAAGCAUUCAUAAAUUUUAGCAAUUUCUCGUCAACACAAAUGAACCAAAGUCAAUUAUAUGACUCCAACUCAACCCAAUUGAACAACAUAUGACCUAAACACAACACUUCAACAAGUUUUCAUAACCAUACAUCAACCGUGAACAAAGCUUCAUGAAUUUAGAAAAAUUAAGUUCAUUCAUAAAGUUAAACAAACUUUCAUCGCACAACUCAUCCCCAAGUCAACAAUAUAGCUUUAACACAACUGAUAGGAGGAUAUUUAUGAGACUGAGUUAGCUUGUUCUCAUGCAUUUAUGUUGUUACUUCUUAGUUAAUUAUGUAUUUUAAGCUAUUUUCGUGUGUUUGU